GACGAACGCUGGCGGCGUGCUUAACACAUGCAAGUGGAGCGACGAAGCGGGCUUCGGCCCGUGGCAGAGCCGCGAACGGGUGAGUAACACGUGGGUAACCUACCUCGAUGACCGGGACAACCCGAGGAAACUCGGGCUAAUACCGGAUGUUCUGCGACCUUGUAAGGGGGUUCAGUAAAGAUAGCUUUGGCCUUCGCAUCGAGACGGGCCCGCGGCCCAUUAGCUUGUUGGUGAGGUAACGGCUUACCAAGGCGACGAUGGGUAGCUGGUCUGAGAGGACGAUAAGCCACACGUGGACGGAGACACGGCCCAGACUCCUACGGGAGGCAGCAGUGGGGAAUCUUGCGCAAUGGGCGAAAGCCUGAGGCAGCAACGCCGCGUGGGGGAAGAAGGCCUUCGGGUUGUAAACCGCUUUCAGUCGGGACGAAGCUUCCAGCGUUAAUAGCGUUGUGGAGUGACGGUACCUUCAGAAGAAGCCCCGGCUAACUACGUGCCAGCCGCCGCAGUAACAC
rnacentral:rRNA from 1 species